AUUAUUAUUGUUCUUCCACUGUGUAUUCCCACCGCUUCUCACCGUGAACACUUGGACAGGUGAAGUUUGGCUGUUUAAAGUAGGUCAUCUCUCCAACACAUUUCUGGAUAUCUUACAGGACAAGGCGGCGGUGUACAUUUCCUUAUCCAAAUACGGCUGCAGCACAUUUAGACUGCUAUUCUUAUCCCAGUAGACCCGCCUCGCUCAAAGAUCCCAUGGUCCACAUUUAUAAGAGCCCUGGAUCCUGGACACUGGUUUGGCACAAGACUUCAAGAGCAGGACUUUUAAGCUACUAAAUGUAAUCAGUAUCCAGGCUGUUCACUUCACAUCUUUUGAGAUUAAAAGAAGAAAAGAUGAUGGUCUUAAAAUGGUUUUACUUCAACAAGAAACCACACGAUGGAAUAUACACUUUGUCUUCCCUUGGGCCACUAUCUGAGGAUAUAAGGUAGAUCCAGAUGGUUUACUGCAGAGCAUGGGAAAACAAUGCAGGUGAGAUGUACAAAAUCAUGACAAAAUAAUACAUUAUGUGAAUAUGUUGUGGGAUAAACUGUGUGUGAGGUGGUGCUCUGCGCUUGUUGAGUUGUCUGUUAAUGUAACUG
ensembl:lncRNA